rnacentral:rRNA from 1 species
UACGUAGGUGGCAAGCGUUGUCCGGAUUUACUGGGCGUAAAGCGCGCGUAGGUGGUUCGGAAAGUCCGGGGUGAAAUCUUGCGGCUCAACUGCAAGCGGUCCCUGGAUACUUCCGGGCUUGAGGUGGGCAGAGGAAGGUGGAAUUCCCGGUGUAGUGGUGAAAUGCGUAGAUAUCGGGAGGAACACCAGUGGCGAAGGCGGCCUUCUGGGCCUUACCUGACGCUGAGGCGCGAAAGCGUGGGGAGCAAACCGGAUUAGAUACCCGGGUAGUCCACGCCCUAAACGAUGAACACUAGGUGUGGGGGGUAUCGACCCCCUCCGUGCCGAAGCUAACGCGAUAAGUGUUCCGCCUGGGGACUACGGCCGCAAGGCUAAA